UACGUAGGGGGCAAGCGUUGUCCGGAUUUAUUGGGCGUAAAGCGCUCGCAGGUGGUUCGUCGCGUCGUGCGUGAAAGACCCCGGCUCAACUGGGGAGUGUCGUGCGAUACGGGCGGACUGGAGGCCAGUAGGGGGAUGCGGAAUUCCGGGUGUAGUGGUGGAAUGCGUAGAGAUCCGGAGGAACACCAGCGGCGAAGGCGGCAUCCUGGACUGUAACUGACACUGAGGAACGAAAGCCAGGGGAGCAAACGGG
rnacentral:rRNA from 1 species